rnacentral:tRNA from 1 species
GGAGAGGUGCCCGAGCGGCCGAAGGGGUGCGACUGGAAAUCGCAUGUACGCCAAAAGCGUACCGAGGGUUCGAAUCCCUCCCUCUCCGCCA